ACUGAAUAGAUACCCGGGUAGUCCACGCCGUAAACGAUGAGCACUAGUUAUUGGGGGUAUUGACUCCCUCAGUGACGCAGCUAACGCAUUAAGUGCUCCGCCUGGGGAGUACGGUCGCAAGACUAAAACUCAAACAAAUUGACGGGGGCCCGCACAAGCGGUGGAUUAUGUGGUUUAAUUCGAAGCAACGCGCAGAACCUUACCUAGGCUUGAACUCCUACGAACCUCUUGUAAUGGAGAGGGUGUCCGCAAGGAAAUGUAGUGAGAGGUGCUGCAUGGCUGUCGUCAGCCCGUGUUGUGAAAUGUUGGGUUAAGUCUCGCAACGAGCGCAACCCCUAUCGUCUGUUGCCAGCAUUAAGUUGGGCACUCUGACGAGACUGCCUGGGUUAACCAGGAGGAAGGUGGGGACGACGUCAAGUCCUCAUGGCCCUUAUGUCUAGGG
rnacentral:rRNA from 1 species